UACGGGGGGAGCAAGCGUUGUUCGGAUUUACUGGGCGUAAAGGGCGCGUAGGCGGUCAGCACAAGUCAGUUGUGAAAUCUCCGGGCUUAACUCGGAAAGGUCAACUGAUACUGUGCGACUAGAGUGCAGAAGGGGCAACUGGAAUUCCUGGUGUAGCGGUGGAAUGCGCAGAUAUCAGGAGGAACACCAAUGGCGAAGGCAGAUCUCUGGGCCGUAACUGACGCUGAGGAGCGAAAGCAUGGGGAGCGAACAGG
rnacentral:rRNA from 1 species